AAUAUACCUUCUAAAGCUAAGUGUUAAAAGAUUUUGCUUCAGUCUGUGUACUACUGCUUUUCAUAACUGCGUUUGAAUGGAAAUGUUAUAUUUGAAUCUCUAAUUUUGAUUUUUAUGUUUUUUAGGAACCAGCCAAAUGAAGUGAGAUUGCCUGAGAAGAUCACGUGUGCUACAUCAAUGACGAUGACGAGCUGGAUACCAGAUUAUGUGCCAAUUUCUUUCCAGAACAGGUCCAAAUAUCUAUGGCAUUGAAGACAACUCUGAAGAAUGAAGAAGCAGAGGAAGAAGCACACUGAGGUCAAUACUACUGAUAAGGAUAUCCAGGGAGACAGAUGCGUGCCAUUCAGCAUAGAAACAUCAGAGACAGAGAUCACCUGAGCGCAGAGGGAAACCAGCUUCUCCUGAGCAAGCCUGAGAGACGUUCUGCGGGUGGAACUCCAAAGUUGAAACCAAAUGUCUUUUUAAAGGCAACAACGGCUCUUUUCAGAGCUACCCACUCAUUCAAAUAAAGAGCAUUUUUACAAAUGUAUUCACAACAAAAUUCUCAGCACUAUAGGCUAAACUAGUACAUAAU